GCGGGCUAGAGAAACAGUUAUCUCGUCACUCUCAUAAGGUGAAGAUAGUGGGUGCGACUCCCACGCCACGCA
rnacentral:tRNA from 1 species